CUCCUAACGCUUGGAUAAGGUGCCUAAAUUAUUCGCUUAUUAGAUCCCAUGAAAAGGUGUUGGUUCAUUAUGACAGUAGGACGGUGGUCAUGGAAGUCGAAAUCCGCUAAGGAGUGUGUAACAACUCACCUACCGAAUGAACUAGCCCUGAAAAUGGAUGGCGCUACAGCGGAUUACCGAUACCAAGCCAUAAAAAAAAAAAAUUUUAAUGAUUUUUUAUAUAUUGCAUUUUUUUUUUUUUUUACUUUUGACCUCUCUUAUUUUAUUUUUUAUAUGUGCCAACUCAGAACUGAAACGGACAAGGGGAAUCCGACUGUUUAAUUAAAACAUAGCAUUGUGAAUAAGCUAUGAGAUAGUAAUGACACAAUGUGAUUUCU
rnacentral:lncRNA from 1 species